rnacentral:rRNA from 1 species
GGAGCUUGCUUUAUAUAACUUAGCAGCGAACGGGUGAGUAACACGUAGAUAAUCUAUCCUAAACUGGGGGAUAGCCCGAUGAAAGUUGGAUUAAUACCGCAUAUAGCUAUAUAGUUGCAUGAUUAUGUAGUGAAAGAUUUAUUGGUAUAGGAGGAGUCUGCGGCACAUUAGCUAGUAGGUGAGGUAAAGGCUUACCUAGGCGACGAUGUGUAGCCGGUCUGAGAGGAUGAACGGCCACAAUGGAACUGAGACACGGUCCAUACUCCUACGGGAGGCAGCAGUGGGGAAUAUUGCACAAUGGGGGAAACCCUGAUGCAGCAACGCCGCGUGAGUGAAGAAGGUUUUCGGAUUGUAAAGCUCUGUUAGCAGGGAAGAGGAAGGACGGUACCUGCAGAGGAAGCCACGGCUAACUACGUGCCAGCAGCCGCGGUAAUACGUAGGUGGCAAGCGUUGUUCGGAAUAAUUGGGCGUAAAGGAUGCGUAGGCGGUUAAACAAGUUAUAUGUUAAAUAUAUAGGCUUAACCUGUAGAAAGCAUAUAAAACUGUUUAACUAGAGUGCAGGAGAGGUAAGUGGAAUUCCUAGUGUAGCGGUGAAAUGCGUAGAGAUUAGGAAGAACACCAGUGGCGAAGGCGACUUACUGGACUGUAACUGACGCUGAGGCAUGAGAGCAUGGGGAGCAAACAGGAUUAGAUACCCUGGUAGUCCAUGCUGUAAACGAUGGGUACUAGGUGUGGGUUGUGAAUAACAAUUCGUGCCGUCGCAAACGCAAUAAGUACCCCGCC